rnacentral:rRNA from 2 species
AUACGACCAUAGGGUGUGGAGAACAGGGCUUCCCGUCCGCUCAGCCGUACUUAAGCCACACGCCGGGAGGUUAGUAGUUGGGUGGGUGACCACCAGCGAAUCCCUCCUGUUGUAU